rnacentral:tRNA from 1 species
GUCCGGUUGGCUCAAUGGCAGAGCAUCUGUCUUCGAACAGAAGGUUGAGGGUUCGAGUCCCCCACCGGAUA